rnacentral:rRNA from 1 species
AUGGCCUCCACCGCGGCGCUCCAGACGGCGGCCGUCUGCACGCUGCUCCUGUUCGCCGGCCAGCUGCUCCCCACGGCCACGCCGGCGCCGCCGACCAGCUGCGCCCCAGGCGACGCAAAGUGCCUGGCCUGCUAUAACAAGUGCGUGGAGCCCUGCCGGCGGGACCCGACCCAGUGCCGUGCGACCCUCCUCUGCGGGCCGAAAUGCGCGCAACAGACGUCGAGCCCCCCGCCGCCGCCGCCGCGGGAGAGUGGCACUUGUGCCCCAACCAACGUAAAGUGCGUCGCCUGCGUGAAGAAGUGCGGGGACAGAUGCCGGCGGGACCCGACGCAGUGCCGUAUGACCAUCUACUGCGAGCCGGGAUGCGCGAUUCAGACGGCGAGCCGCCCGCCGGCGAAGGACAUUUGCGGCCCAACCAAGGCGAAGUGCCUGUCCUGCGUUAACAAGUGCAGGGAAACAUGCCAGGGGGACCCGAUAAGUUGUGGCGGGCUCCAAGACUGCGAGACGGGAUGCGCGCACCAGAAGCAGUAG